rnacentral:tRNA from 1 species
CCCGUGAUAGCUCAGUUGGUAGAGCGGAGGACUGUAGUAUGAAAAUCUAGAAAUCCUUAGGUCGGCGGUUCGACUCCGUCUCGCGGGA